rnacentral:tRNA from 1 species
GGCCCCGUCGUCUAGUGGUCCAGGACGUCUGGUUCUCAUCCAGAAAAUCGCCGGUUCGACUCCGGCCGGGGUCACCA